rnacentral:rRNA from 1 species
UUUAAAAUCUGGUGGUCUUUGGCCAUCCGAGUUGUAAUUUAGAGAAGCGUUUUCCGCGCUGGACCAUGCACAAGUCUCCUGGAAUGGAGCGUCAUAGAGGGUGAGAAUCCCGUCUUUGGCAUGGACAUGACCAGGGCUUUUGUGAUGCGCUCUCGAAGAGUCGAGUUGUUUGGGAAUGCAGCUCAAAAUGGGUGGUGAACUCCAUCUAAAGCUAAAUAUUGGCGAGAGACCGAUAGCGAACAAGUACCGUGAGGGAAAGAUGAAAAGCACUUUGGAAAGAGAGUGAAACAGUACGUGAAAUUGUUGAAAGGGAAACGCUUGAAGUCAGUCGCGUUGUCCAAGACUCAGCCUUGCCCUG